rnacentral:rRNA from 1 species
CAGUCGCCGCGGUAAAACGGAGGGUGCAAGCGUUAAUCGGAAUUACUGGGCGUAAAGCGUGCGUAGGCGGUUCGUUAAGUCUGUUGUGAAAGCCCCGGGCUCAACCUGGGAAUGGCAAUGGAUACUGGCGAGCUAGAGUGUGUCAGAGGAUGGUGGAAUUCCCGGUGUAGCGGUGAAAUGCGUAGAGAUCGGGAGGAACAUCAGUGGCGAAGGCGGCCAUCUGGGACAACACUGACGCUGAGGCACGAAAGCGUGGGGAGCAAACAGGAUUAGAUACCCGGGUAGUCCCUGUCUCUUAUAA